GACGAACGCUGGCGGCGUGCUUUAUACAUGCAAGUCGAGGGGUAAAUAUUGUAGCAAUACGAUAUGAGACCGGCGCACGGGUGCGUAACACGUAUGCAACCUACCUUUUACUGGGGUAUAGCUCCGAGAAAUCGGAAUUAAUCCCCCAUAACACUGCGAUGGGGCAUCUCAUUGCAGUUAAAGCUCCGGCGGUAAAAGAUGGGCAUGCGGUACAUUAGCUAGUUGGUGGGGUAAUGGCUCACCAAGGCGA
rnacentral:rRNA from 1 species